GAUGAACGCUGGCGGCGUGCCUAAUACAUGCAAGUCGAGCGAACGGACGAGAAGCUUGCUUUUCUGAUGUUAGCGGCGGACGGGUGAGUAAAACGUGGAUAACCUACCUAUAAGACUGGGAUAACUUCGGGAAACCGGAGCUAAUACCGGAUAAUAUUUUGAACCGCAUGGUUCAAAAGUGAAAGACGGUCUUGCUGUCACUUAUAGAUGGAUCCGCGCUGCAUUAGCUAGUUGGUAAGGUAACGGCUUACCAAGGCAACGAUGCAUAGCCGACCUGAGAGGGUGAUCGGCCACACUGGAACUGAGACUCGGUCCAGACUCCUACGGGAGGCAGCGGUAGGGAAUCUUCCGCAAUGGGCGAAAGCCUGACGGAGCAACGCCGCGUGAGUGAUGAAGGUCUUCGGAUCGUAAAACUCUGUUAUUAGGGAAGAACAUAUGUGUAAGUAACUGUGCACAUCUUGACGGUACCUAAUCAGAAAGCCACGGCUAACUACGUG
rnacentral:rRNA from 1 species